CAGGCGCUCGCCCACGAUGGGCAUGCAGAUCAGGCCGCGCCCGUGGGCGGCCAUGAAGUUGAUGGCGGCCGGCGUGACCUUCUCGGCCGCCAUGGUCA
rnacentral:antisense_RNA from 1 species